rnacentral:lncRNA from 1 species
GGGCGCCCCCUGUCCGCACGGAGGAGCCGAAGUCCCGCAGGGUGGGGUCCCCGCCUGCGCCGAGAGGGCCACCUGGUCGAGAGAACAGGCGACACGGAAACCUGAGAAACUCCUCUGUCUGGUGCACCUAACCCUCUUCCUCAUAAAGUGCACACGAACUCUGGUUUUUCCGUUGCAAAUUUUGCUUUCUACAUAGACCAUACCAUUCGUUGCUCUCUGAGGAUGAGCUCCUGGCUUCCCAGUCCAGCAGAAGUAUCUACAUCUAUUUCUGGAAAGGACCUGAACUUGGCUUCUCGUCCUUCUGGAAAGUGAGGCGAAAAUGCCAGGCUGCGCAGCUAUCCUGAGGCCCGGCCUGGAACCUGGCUAGCCACCCAGUCCUGAUACCUCAUCUCCUUUCUGUUGGAUAAAGUCAUUGGAUAAGAUCCCCCAGGGUCUUCUUAAUACUGAACAUCUGUUCAUAAUCACAUAAGUGACCAAGUAUAGUGGAAAACCCGAAUGGUCAACUGAGCUGAGCAGUGGGAGAGAGCGCAGGGUGAGCUCACCUACACCUGAGCAAGAAGCCGGGGCUAAAUACGUGGAAAUCACUGAGAUGGAUUUUGAUACAGGGCAGAAAGAAGAGUAAAAUCAUCUCAUAUUACUUUCCACCUGAAGCUCUGAGCCGAAAGAGUUAUUUGCUCAAACACUCUGAAAUGGGGAGGGACAGAGCUCUGACCCCUCCGUCCAGGCCUGUUUGUUGUUUUUUUUUUUUGUUUGUUUUGUUUUUUUUUUUUUGUGAGACGGAGUUUCAUUCUUGUUGCCCAGGCUGGAGUGCCAUGGCGCGAUCUCGGCUCACCGCAAACUCCGCCUCCUGGGUUCAAGCGAUUCUCCUGCCUCAGCCUCCGGAGUAGCUGGGAUUACAGGCAUGCGCCACCAUGCCCGGCUAAUUUUUUUUUUUUUUUUUUUUUUUUUAGUAGAGACGGGGUUUCUCCAUGUUGAUCAUGCUGGUCUCAAACUCCAGAUCUCAGGCCCGCCUCGGCCUCCCAAAGUGCUGGGAUUACAGGCGUGAGCCACCGCGCUCGCCCCGUCAGGACUCUUUCUUGAGGUUUUGUCUUCUGUUCCUUGGCUUACCUCAUCCUUUAAGUAUUUGAGGAACUGGUGAACAAGUUAACUACUUUGAUAGUAAACGAGGAAAUUUCUUUAUAGAGAAAAGCAAAAUGUGGCCCAGCAGGUAUGUGAAAAAUGGCUGAUGUGACUAGAACUAAGGAAACAAAUGGUUAAGAUAAUAUUAGACAAAAGUAAUGGAAAUUUUUUUUUUUUGGAAAACAGUAUGGAGGGUCCUCAAAAAAUUAAAAAUGGAACUUCCAUGUGAACCAGCCAUCCCACUUCUGGGUAUAUACCCAAAGAAAAUGAAAUUGGUAUCUAGAAGAGAUACCUGCACUCCCAUGUUUAUUGCAG